rnacentral:rRNA from 1 species
CACUAUCGUUAACUGAAUACAUAGGUUAACGAGGCGAACCGGGGGAACUGAAACAUCUAAGUACCCCGAGGAAAAGAAAUCAACCGAGAUUCCCCCAGUAGCGGCGAGCGAACGGGGAGCAGCCCAGAGUCUGAAUCAGCUUGUGUGUUAGUGGAACGGUCUGGAAAGUCCGACGGUACAGGGUGAUAGUCCCGUACACCAAAAUGCACAGGUUGUGAACUCGAAGAGUAGGGCGGGACACGUGGUAUCCUGUCUGAAUAUGGGGGGACCAUCCUCCAAGGCUAAAUACUCCUGACUGACCGAUAGUGAACCAGUACCGUGAGGGAAAGGCGAAAAGAACCCCGGCGAGGGGAGUGAAAAAGAACCUGAAACCGUGUACGUACAAGCAGUGGGAGCACCUUCGGGUGUGACUGCGUACCUUUUGUAUAAUGGGUCAGCGACUUAUAUUCUGUAGCAAGGUUAACCGUAUAGGGGAGCCGCAGGGAAACCGAGUCUUAACUGGGCGUUAAGUUGCAGGGUAUAGACCCGAAACCCGGUGAUCUAGCCAUGGGCAGGUUGAAGGUUGGGUAACACUAACUGGAGGACCGAACCGACUAAUGUUGAAAAAUUAGCGGAUGACUUGUGGCUGGGGGUGAAAGGCCAAUCAAACCGGGAGAUAGCUGGUUCUCCCCGAAAGCUAUUUAGGUAGCGCCUCGUGAAUUCAUCUUCGGGGGUAGAGCACUGUUUCGGCUAGGGGGUCAUCCCGACUUACCAACCCGAUGCAAACUACGAAUACCGAAGAAUGUUAUCACGGGAGACACACGGCGGGUGCUAACGUCCGUCGUGAAGAGGGAAACAACCCAGACCGCCAGCUAAGGUCCCAAAGUCAUGGUUAAGUGGGAAACGAUGUGGGAAGGCACAGACAGCCAGGAUGUUGGCUUAGAAGCAGCCAUCAUUUAAAGAAAGCGUAAUAGCUCACUGGUCGAGUCGGCCUGCGCGGAAGAUGUAACGGGGCUAAACCAUGCACCGAAGCUGCGGCAGCGACACUAUGUGUUGUUGGGUAGGGGAGCGUUCUGUAAGCCUGCGAAGGUGUGCUGUGAGGCAUGCUGGAGGUAUCAGAAGUGCGAAUGCUGACAUAAGUAACGAUAAAGCGGGUGAAAAGCCCGCUCGCCGGAAGACCAAGGGUUCCUGUCCAACGUUAAUCGGGGCAGGGUGAGUCGACCCCUAAGGCGAGGCCGAAAGGCGUAGUCGAUGGGAAACAGGUUAAUAUUCCUGUACUUGGUGUUACUGCGAAGGGGGGACGGAGAAGGCUAUGUUAGCCGGGCGACGGUUGUCCCGGUUUAAGCAUGUAGGCUGGUUGUCCAGGCAAAUCCGGAUAAUCAAGGCUGAGGUGUGAUGACGAGGCACUACGGUGCUGAAGUAACAAAUGCCCUGCUUCCAGGAAAAGCCUCUAAGCAUCAGGUAACAUUAAAUCGUACCCCAAACCGACACAGGUGGUCAGGUAGAGAAUACCAAGGCGCUUGAGAGAACUCGGGUGAAGGAACUAGGCAAAAUGGUGCCGUAACUUCGGGAGAAGGCACGCUGGUGUGUAGGUGAAGUCCCUGCGGAUGGAGCUGAGACCAGUCGAAGAUACCAGCUGGCUGCAACUGUUUAUUAAAAACACAGCACUGUGCAAACACGAAAGUGGACGUAUACGGUGUGACGCCUGCCCGGUGCCGGAAGGUUAAUUGAUGGGGUUAUCCGUAAGGAGAAGCUCUUGAUCGAAGCCCCGGUAAACGGCGGCCGUAACUAUAACGGUCCUAAGGUAGCGAAAUUCCUUGUCGGGUAAGUUCCGACCUGCACGAAUGGCGUAAUGAUGGCCAGGCUGUCUCCACCCGAGACUCAGUGAAAUUGAACUCGCUGUGAAGAUGCAGUGUACCCGCGGCAAGACGGAAAGACCCCGUGAACCUUUACUAUAGCUUGACACUGAACAUUGAGCCUUGAUGUGUAGGAUAGGUGGGAGGCUUUGAAGCGUGGACGCCAGUCUGCGUGGAGCCAACCUUGAAAUACCACCCUUUAAUGUUUGAUGUUCUAACGUUGGCCCCUUACCGGGGUUGCGGACAGUGUCUGGUGGGUAGUUUGACUGGGGCGGUCUCCUCCCAAAGCGUAACGGAGGAGCACGAAGGUUAGCUAAUCCUGGUCGGACAUCAGGAGGUUAGUGCAAUGGCAUAAGCUAGCUUGACUGCGAGCGUGACGGCGCGAGCAGGUGCGAAAGCAGGUCAUAGUGAUCCGGUGGUUCUGAAUGGAAGGGCCAUCGCUCAACGGAUAAAAGGUACUCCGGGGAUAACAGGCUGAUACCGCCCAAGAGUUCAUAUCGACGGCGGUGUUUGGCACCUCGAUGUCGGCUCAUCACAUCCUGGGGCUGAAGUAGGUCCCAAGGGUAUGGCUGUUCGCCAUUUAAAGUGGUACGCGAGCUGGGUUUAGAACGUCGUGAGACAGUUCGGUCCCUAUCUGCCGUGGGCGCUGGAGAAUUGAGGGGGGCUGCUCCUAGUACGAGAGGACCGGAGUGGACGCAUCACUGGUGUUCGGGUUGUCAUGCCAAUGGCACUGCCCGGUAGCUAAAUGCGGAAGAGAUAAGUGCUGAAAGCAUCUAAGCACGAAACUUGCCCCGAGAUGAGUUCUCCCUGAGACUUUAAGUCUCCUGAAGGAACGUUGAAGACGACGACGUUGAUAGGCCGGGUGUGUAAGCGCAGCGAUGCGUUGAGCUAACCGGUACUAAUGAACCGUGAGGCUUAACCUU